rnacentral:rRNA from 1 species
UACGAGGGGGGCAAGCGUUGUUCGGAAUUACUGGGCGUAAAGGGCUCGUAGGCGGCCAACUAAGUCAGACGUGAAAUCCCUCAGCUUAACUGGGGAACUGCGUCUGAUACUGGAUGGCUUGGAUUCGGGAGAGGAAUGCGGAAUUCCAGGUGUAGCGGUGAAAUGCGUAGAUAUCUGGAGGAACACCGGUGGCGAAGGCGGCAUCCUGGACCAACACUGACGCUGAGGAGCGAAAGCCAGGGGAGCAAACGGG